CAGCCGCCACGGGAAUACGAAGGGGGCUAGCGUUGCUCGGAAUGACUGGGCGUAAAGGGCGCGUAGGCGGUCACGAUAGUCAGAUGUGUAAUUCCUGGGCUUAACCUGGGGACUGCAUUUGAUACUGUGUGGCUUGAGUGAGGAAGAGGGUCGUGGAAUUCCCAGUGUAGAGGUGAAAUUCGUAGAUAUUGGGAAGAACACCGGUGGCGAAGGCGGCGACCUGGUCCAUAACUGACGCUGAGGCGCGAAAGCGUGGGGAGCAAACAGGAUUAGAUACCCCUGUAGUCCCUGUCUCUUAUAU
rnacentral:rRNA from 1 species